rnacentral:rRNA from 1 species
CCUACGGGAGGCAGCAGUGGGGAAUAUUGGGCAAUGGGCGCAAGCCUGACCCAGUAACGCCGCGUGAAGGAAGAAGGCUUUCGGGUUGUAAACCUCUUUUUUGAGGGACGAAGAAAGUGACGGUACCUCAGGGAUAAGCCUCGGCUAACUACGUGCCAGCAGUCGCGGUAAUACGUAGGUGGCAAGCGUUAUCCGGAUUUAUUGGGUGUAAAGGGCGUGUAGGCGGGAAGGCAAGUCAGAGGUGAAAACUCAGGGCUCAACCCCGGGCCUGCAUUUGAAACUGUUUUUCUUGAGUUCUGGAGAGGCAAUCGGAAUUCCGUGUGUAGCGGUGAAAUGCGUAGAUAUACGGAGGAACACCAGUGGCGAAGGCGGAUUGCUGGACAGUAACUGACGCUGAGGCACGAAAGCGUGGGGAGCAAACAGGAUUAGAUACCCCAGUAGUC